CCUACGGGGGGCAGCAGUGGGGAAUAUUGCACAAUGGGCGAAAGCCUGAUGCAGCAACGCCGCGUGAGCGAUGAAGGCCUUCGGGUCGUAAAGCUCUGUCCUCAAGGAAGAUAAUGACGGUACUCGAGGAGGAAGCCCCGGCUAACUACGUGCCAGCAGCGGCGGGAAUACGUAGGGGGCUAGCGUUAUCCGGAAUUACUGGGCGUAAGGGGUGCGUAGGUGGUUUCUUAAGUCAGAGGUGAAAGGCUACGGCUCAACCGUAGUAAGCCUUUGAAACUGGGGAACUUGAGUGCAGGAGAGGAGAGUGGAAUUCCUGGUGUAGCGGUGAAAUGCGUAGAUAUUAGGAGGAACACCAGUUGCGAAGGCGGCUCUCUGGACUGUAACUGACGCUGAGGCACGAAAGCGUGGGGAGCAAACAGGAUUAGAUACCCUAGUAGUC
rnacentral:rRNA from 1 species